rnacentral:rRNA from 1 species
UUAAGGUCURRCCUGCCCAAUGAGGAUUUAAAUGGCCGCAGUAUUUUGACUGUGCAAAGGUAGCAUAAUUAUUAGUUUUUUAAUUGAAAGCUCGUAUGAAUGGUUGGACGAAAUAAAUUCUGUCUUUAUUUAAAUUAAAAUAAAAUUUAACUUUUGAGUCAAAAGGCUUAAAUAAUUAUAAAAGACGAGAAGACCCUAUAGAUCUUUAUUUAGUUAAGAUUUUGAUAAUUUAAGAUUAUUUUAAUAUAAAAUUUUAACUUAAUUUUGUUGGGGUAAUGUAAAGAUUUAAUAAAUUCUUUUUAUUAAUAACAUUAAUUUAUGUAUAUAUGAUCCAGUAAUAUUGAUUAUAAGAUUAAGUUACCUUAGGGAUAACAGCGUAAUUUUUUUGGAGAGCUCAUAUCGAUAAGAAAGUUUGCGACCUCGAUGUUGGAUUAAAAAUUAGCUUGGGUGCAGAAGCUCAAGAUUUUGGUCUGUUCGACCAUUAAAUUUUUACAUGAUCUGAGUUCAGACCGGCGUAAGCCAGGUCGGUUUCUAUCUUUAUUAAAAUAAAAUAUUUUAGUACGAAAGGACCAAGUAUUUAAUAUAAUUAUAUUUAAUUUUUGAAUAAUAUU